UCCACACCCUUCAGCUAAAAGAGGAGUUUUGGAGGAGGUGGAGCAAAGCAACGCUUGGAGCACAGUUUGAGCUUGGACUUGAGCUCUGAGGCUUUUGGAGGCAACACGUACGUCCGCUGUGACCUGUGUUGUCUUUGUGCUGCACUCUGUGACUUUUGGAUCUCUUCAGUGAAAAGCAUAUAGAGGCAUCAGGGCUUUUUUUUUUUUUUUAAGUUUUUUUAUUCUUUCUUUCUUUGUUUCUUUACUGCCUGCACUCAAACACAUCUCAUUCAAGCACUUCAUCACAGGAAGCCUGUGGUAACAAAUCCAGGAACAACACAUGUAGCUUUAUUCUGCGCUGAAUGGGAAACGUAGCUGCAGGCUACAACUGGUGACCACGGACUUUAUUAAGACAAAUGAAAGGACUUUAAACAAUGGAGCUUUUGAGACGGAGAAGAGCAGUAUUAUUCUUCAGCGUUCUCAGACGUGGACGAAGAUCCUGGGGGAGAAAAAAAAGCGCGACGGGUAAAAGAAAAGGAGGGCAGAAUGCAGGGAGGACUUACUCAUACAGGAAGGAAGUACAGGAAGUGUCCCAUUGGGAAAACAAGUAGCAAUGUAAUUGUGAACCCUGAGCUCAUUUACUGUCUGGGUGGUCAUGAAAGGGAAGCACUGAUUGUGUGUGUGUGUGUGUGUGUGUUGCCAACAAAUGUUUUUUCAUAAAUGUUUUAUGAUGGCACACCAUGCUGUGAGCAUUGUUUUUAAACGUUUCUUUGUUAAACACUGGCAAAAAUGUAUCUCAUAGCGUCUCACAAAAUAUGAAUUAUUCUGUGUGUCCCAGCUGCAUAACAGUAGACAAAUAAAGACAUGAUUUACCAUCUCUUUAAUACACAGCUAAAGGGGCGGCUACAGGACAUAUACAGAAUAUAACGUCUUGUCUUAUUUUUCAGUUACUGUAGUCUUGUAAGUGGCUGAAUCAACCCUCAAAAACUCAAUUUUAAAUUAACUUAAAAGGUGAUGGACCGAGUAAACAGGAGAAUCAUCUUUGAGAUAAGAAAAUCACAUCGGGAUGAGCUAUCAGAUUUAAGCUGCCACCUAAAGUGAGUCACAGAGCCAUUUCCAUUGAGCUAAACACUCACGUAACGUCCUCAAUAGAAAACGGAUAAAGAACAUAAAAUACAAAGACGUGUGGAGACCUUCAUGUUUUGAAACAUGUAAAUGAAAUAAAGAAAUAUUUCACAUAA